GAAGACGCCGGUUACCCGCAACGGGACGGAAAGACCCCAUGCACCUUCACUAUAGCUUAACAUUGAUAUCGGAUACAGGAUGUGUAGGAUAGGUGGGAGACUGUGAUCCGGCUUCGCCAGGAGUCGGUUAGUCAACGUUGAAAUACCACCCUUUCUGUAUUUGGUGUCUAACUCUUCAAAGAGGAGAACAUUGUUUGGCGGGUAGUUUGACUGGGGUGGUCGCCUCCAAAAAGGUAACGGAGGCUUUCAAAGGUAAGCUCAGUACGCUUGGUAACCGUACGUGGAGUGCAAUAGCAAAAGCUUGCUUGACAGUGAGACAGACAAGUCGAGCUGGGUCGAAAGACGGAUAUAGUGAUCCGGUGGUUCUGCAUGGA
rnacentral:rRNA from 1 species